rnacentral:rRNA from 1 species
UUAUUGGAGAGUUUGAUCCUGGCUCAGGACGAACGCUGGCGGCGUGCCUAAUACAUGCAAGUCGAGCGGAGUUGUGAGAGAGCUUGCUCUCGAUCAACUUAGCGGCGGACGGGUGAGUAACACGUAGGCAACCUGCCCCUUGGACCGGGAUAACUACCGGAAACGGUAGCUAAUACCGGAUAACUCCUUCUGGCUCCUGCCGGAAGGCUGAAAAGCGGAGCAAUCUGCUACCAAGGGAUGGGCCUGCGGCGCAUUAGCUAGUUGGUGGGGUAACGGCUCACCAAGGCGACGAUGCGUAGCCGACCUGAGAGGGUGAACGGCCACACUGGGACUGAGACACGGCCCAGACUCCUACGGGAGGCAGCAGUAGGGAAUCUUCCGCAAUGGGCGAAAGCCUGACGGAGCAACGCCGCGUGAGUGAUGAAGGUUUUCGGAUCGUAAAGCUCUGUUGCCAGGGAAGAACGUCUUGUAGAGUAACUGCUACAAGAGUGACGGUACCUGAGAAGAAAGCCCCGGCUAACUACGUGCCAGCAGCCGCGGUAAUACGUAGGGGGCAAGCGUUGUCCGGAAUUAUUGGGCG